UGGGGAAUCUUGGACAAUGGGGGCAACCCUGAUCCAGCCAUGCCGCGUGAGUGAUGAAGGCCUUAGGGUCGUAAAGCUCUUUCGCCUGUGAAGAUAAUGACGGUAGCAGGUAAAGAAACCCCGGCUAACUCCGUGCCAGCAGCCGCGGUAAUACGGAGGGGGUUAGCGUUGUUCGGAAUUACUGGGCGUAAAGCGCACGUAGGCGGACCAGAAAGUUGGGGGUGAAAUCCCGGGGGCUCAACCCCGGAACUGCCUCCAAAACUAUUGGUCUAGAGUUCGAGAGAGGUGAGUGGAAUUCCAAGUGUAGAGGUGAAAUUCGUAGAUAUUUGGAGGAACACCAGUGGCGAAGGCGGCUCACUGGCUCGAUACUGACGCUGAGGUGCGAAAAGUGUGGGGAGCAAACAGGAUUAGAUACCCUGGUAGUCCACACCGUAAAACGAUGAAUGCCAGUCGUCGGGUAGCAUGCUAUUCGGUGACACACCUAACGGAUUAAGCAUUCCGCCUGGGGAGUACGGUCGCAAGAUUAAAA
rnacentral:rRNA from 1 species